CUCCUGAGGAUGCAGGCAUACUUAAAAAAUCAGGGAAUAACAAAAUAGGUUAGAAAAAAUGCAAGGUUUUUGAAACACAUAUCUUGAAAAAAUCAAUCCUUUUCACACACCAAUAAGUUACUGCUAGGAGUAUACAGUUCACUGCUUUUACUGCUCCCACCCACAACCCUCUUUUCAAGGCUCUCCUGCCUCAACUUAAAUUUUCUAUACUAUACUUGAACUCAAGGUAAAAUUUAAAUUCACUAUGGAAAGUUACACAAACCACUGAGGUAAACAUGUCUCAAGAUUUUACUUUUUCUUAAUCUUUUAUUAAUAUUGUCCUUUAAAGCUGUUAAAUCUUUUUCUAUAUAACAAGACACAGUUAAACUGAGAUAUUCAAACACUAUAGAAGCAUUAAAAUAUAUGAAAAGCUUUCCUUAUCUGACCCAAACUGCCAUUAUUUUCUUCUCAAAAGAAACCAUAUCAAUUAUUUUGUGUAACCUUCAGGAAGCCUUCCUUGUGUGUAAAAAAAUGCAUAAUAUUUAAUCUAUUUAUUACAUGAAUGGGAUAUUAUGUUAUGCUUGUUCUUAGACUUCAAAUGAUUCUAAUUUUUCAAUUUAUCCUAAAGCUAUUUUAUUCCUCUGUGGAAGCCAAUAAACUGUUUUUCUUUCCUGUUGUCCUACUCAAAGCCAGAUGUAUUUUCUUAAGGCAUUUUUGUCAGUUUAACUUUCUCUCAUUUUUGUCUUUUAAAAAGCAUUCUGUGAGGCUGGAACGUUGCAGGGUUUUUUCCCUCCUUCCUCACCCAGCUGUUUCUGCUUCUCAGGAUGCACACCUGUGAAGCUGGGUCACUUGGGAGAAAUGCUUGGGUUUUAUUUACAGCAAAAAAGAAUGUGAGUUUCACAUGCAAAUGUUUAAAAUGGUCAUUUUGUUCUCAGGGAUCAACUGCAAGACAGAUUUUGGGGGAGUGGUCAGGGACAUGAAUAGAAACUCUUAAGGUCAAAAUUGUCUGAUCCUUAAAUAUUUUUUGAGGGCCUACUCUGGCUCCUCAGCAUAUUCUGUGUACUGGGGAUACAGAAGUAGAAAAAAGAAGAAUAAAGAGAAAAAUCUUGGCUUCA
rnacentral:lncRNA from 1 species